CUUCUUGUAGCCAUCCUAGGUCCCAGUUCUUCAGAAUGUUUACUGGAAGGACCUCAACUUUCUUGUCUUUGCCUGGAUUGCAUUCCUUGCACUACAGAUUGCCAAGCAGCCUUGAUAAAGUGAACCCCUCAUCUUUCAUUGUUCCGUACCUUAAAUCCGGUUUGGAUGGUGAGUACUCAAAUAUGCUGCUGUGUAAUUGUUUAAGGCAUUAAAAUGAAAUCUUUUAUUCUUCCACCUCUAAAAAAAAAAAAAACUUUUAUUCUUCCCAUGAUUGGCAUGGGAAUUGCUUAUCUACUAUUCCCAUGUUUAAUUAACACGAUGCUAUUGUUUGUCAGAUGUAGUCUUAAAGUUUAUCAUCCUAAAUGUGUGGGCAAGGAUUCCACAUUCUUGGAGAUGGGCAAUCAAUGGACUUGUAAUAAUCAACUAUUGGAUCGGCUUUUUGUGUUGCAUUGACAGGGCCACUAGAAGCUAAGCUAACAGUCAGGUACGAGAAUCUCCCUAUUGCAUUACUAGUAACUCACAGACAAAGGCAAUAAUGAGGCAUCCUGUAUCAAAAAGAUCUUUAAAUAAUUUAAAUGUUUUAAACCAAUAGAAGGUUUAAUCUCUGUACUUGUUUUUAAAUACCUGAAUUGUACAAGUCAAGAAUGCUGGAGCUAUAUGCAAGCGAUGAUCGUGGGAUCAAUUUAGUCUGCAAUAAGAUCAAGGAUUUUGCAGCUGUAGCUAUAGGUUCUGGUAACCGCCAUGGGGGUUACCCUUGUCUGCCGUUCAAGAUCAUUAUCCUAAAUGAGGUUGAUUCAAUGACUGAAGAUGCUUAGGUACUUGUAGACCGUACCCAUUAUCAGUCCUUGAAUCUGGACCAUUGAACAAUCUCCUAGGUUGAUAUUUUUAACCUUAUAAUUAUUGAACUAUCUUCUAUUGAAUCUGUACCGUUGCUGUUUUUUCUCAUUAACCAUCUAUUUGUAGUCCAAUGAAUAAAAAAGUUAGGAACUUCCAUUUAAGGAUUUGCAUAGUGUUCUCAAGUUGUCAGUUUAUACAGGUGGAGCCCAUGGUCCCGUGAUCUGAGCCGUUGGUUUGAUGGCUUGCUAUUAUGGAUCAUGACCUAUGAAAUCUCCUCAAUACGAUGAUUCAGAUGUUUCACUUUCUAGGCUG